AUGCUUGCUUCAACAGCUCAUAUACUGAAAUUGGAAUGAUACAGAGAUUAACAUGGCCUCUGCACAAGGAUGACAGGCAAAUUCUUAAAGUGUUCUAUAUUAGA
rnacentral:snRNA from 1 species